ensembl:lncRNA ENTPD1-AS1 ENTPD1 antisense RNA 1
GAAUGGCCUGUCCAGAAGACAGCCAAAUACAUCCUUCAAACAGACUUCACUGCAGGAGACAGAGUGGAUUCAUCCUGUAUUCUCCAUGUAGACUUCCAUCUUCAUGAGUACUCCAAGAAGAUGGUUCAGUUGACUAUUGCAAAGGCAUCCCCCUCUCCAAUGAUGCAAUACUGAACAUGUAAAAAGGUCAAAUUAAGAAGGCAACCAUGUAUUUUUGGAGCUGGUAAACAAAUAAUGGAACCAAGAUGUCAUGAGGCUUCAACUGUGAGUGAAGUUUUGCCAAGGAAACAACAUCAGUCAACAUUAAAAGGCAAGCGACCCUUAACAAUGAGAUAGUAUCAGCCUUCUGUCUUGACAAAGGGACUGCUGUACACAGCACCACUGGGUUGAACUUGACAAAAAGAUGCCAGUGUGACACCCACGCCUCUGCUAUACAGUGAUUUGGGUGGAUGGCAAAAGUUUCAGAGGCCUGGCAUACACAACCAUCCUUCCAGGCUCCCAGUUCAACAUCUUCAAAUACAAGAGAAUAUACUUCUACACAUGUAUUCCCAGGCCUCCAUGGUCAAGUUAACUUCUAGAUAUAUUACUGCCCAUGUGUACAUACAUGCAUAUUAGCAUAUUGGUAUCAUCUGGGCCCUUAUAUAUUUGUUUACUAUAAUUUCAGUGAAAGUUUAAAAUGGUGUAUUUAUAGUAUAAAUUUUUAUUUACCACAUGCUUUUUAAUUAACAGAUUAAAAAAUAUAAUG